rnacentral:rRNA from 1 species
GAUGAACGCUGGCGGCGUGCCUAAUACAUGCAAGUCGAGCGAACAGACGAGGAGCUUGCUCCUCUGACGUUAGCGGCGGACGGGUGAGUAACACGUGGAUAACCUACCUAUAAGACUGGGAUAACUUCGGGAAACCGGAGCUAAUACCGGAUAACAUGUUGAACCGCAUGGUUCAACAGUGAAAGACGGUCUUGCUGUCACUUAUAGAUGGAUCCGCGCCGCAUUAGCUAGUUGGUAAGGUAACGGCUUACCAAGGCAACGAUGCGUAGCCGACCUGAGAGGGUGAUCGGCCACACUGGAACUGAGACACGGUCCAGACUCCUACGGGAGGCAGCAGUAGGGAAUCUUCCGCAAUGGGCGAAAGCCUGACGGAGCAACGCCGCGUGAGUGAUGAAGGUCUUCGGAUCGUAAAACUCUGUUAUUAGGGAAGAACAAAUGUGUAAGUAACUAUGCACGUCUUGACGGUACCUAAUCAGAAAGCCACGGCUAACUACGUGC